UACGAAGGGGGCUAGCGCUGCUCGGAAUCACUGGGCGUAAAGGGCGCGUAGGCGGCCGGCCAAGUCGGACGUGAAAGCCCUGAGCUCAACUCAGGAACUGCAUCCGAAACUGGCGGUCUGGAGUAGUGGAGAGGAAAGCAGAAUUCCUGGUGUAGAGGUGAAAUUCGUAGAUAUCGGGAGGAACACCAGUGGCGAAGGCGACUACCUGGCCUGUUCUUGACGCUGAGGCGCGAAAGCUAGGGGAGCAAACGGG
rnacentral:rRNA from 1 species